AGUAACGCGUGGAUAACCUGCCUUGCACUGGGGGAUAACACUUAGAAAUAGGUGCUAAUACCGCAUAAGCGCACAGAGCCGCAUGGCUCAGUGUGAAAAACUCCGGUGGUGUAAGAUGGAUCCGCGUCUGAUUAGCUGGUUGGCGGGGUAGAAGCCCACCAAGGCGACGAUCAGUAGCCGGCCUGAGAGGGUGGACGGCCACAUUGGGACUGAGACACGGCCCAAACUCCUACGGAAGGCAGCAG
rnacentral:rRNA from 1 species